rnacentral:rRNA from 1 species
GUGCCAGCAGCUGCGGUUAUACAAAAAAUACAAAUAAAUUUUAUUAGGAAAAGUUAAAUUGAUUAUUAUUUAAUAAUAAAAGAAUUUUUAGGUGAAAUUUUAAUUAUUUUAUUUUUAAAAAUAGGAAAAGAAUUGAUACUAAGAAAUUUUAUUAAUAAACUAGGAUUAGAUACCCUAUUAUUAAAAAAUGUAUUUUUAAAAAUUAGAGUAGUAAUAGUUAUGGUCUUGAAACUCAAAAAAUUUGGCGGUAUUUUAGUCUAUUCAGAGGAACUUGUGGUGUAAUCGAUAAUCCACGAUGAAUCUUACUUAUUUUUGUUUUUCAAUUUGUAUACCGCCGUUAUUUAAAAAUUUUUUGAAAAUAAUAAUUUUUAUAGAUUUUUAUAAAAAAGAAAAUCAGGUCAAGGUGCAGUUUAUAAUUAAGUAUUUCAUGGGUUACAAUAAAUUUAUUUAUAUGGAUUAAAUUAUGAAAUUAAUUUAUGAAAGUGGAUUUGAUAGUAAAUUUUUAAAGAUAAAAAAAUUGAUUUUAGCUCUAAAAUAUG